rnacentral:tRNA from 1 species
AUAGUGGUAAUUCAGUAAUAGAAUUCUUGCCUUGCAUGCAAGAAAACUGAGUUUGAUUCCCAGUCAAUGCA